rnacentral:lncRNA from 1 species
CGGCAAAUACCACAGCAGGAAAUCCGACGACUAAUUGGAGGGAUGAGACGCAGGGUUGAGGCCUGUAUCCAAUCACGUGGUGGUUUCACCCGAUAUUGAAUACUGAACUAUGGAUAACAUAAACAGAUUUGUAAUGGACGUUUUCUAAGUGAAAUGACAUUAGUAUCAUGCAUAACGAACUCAGAAGGUCCAUACAUAAAAUGGACACGUUUUAGUGUUUAAACUGGACUUGUGGUUUUGUGAGAAUCUAUUCAUUAAAUUAUCGUUUUUGUUGCAAUUUGUUGUGUAUUUCUUAAAGCUAAUGUUAUGUCCUUACAGUCUGCAUUACUAAGUAUAGCACCAAUUGUCCAAGGAUUCCAUGUCCCUUAUCGUAAUAUUUGUC